rnacentral:tRNA from 1 species
GGGCGGGUGGUCUAGAUAUGGCUACCCUCGAAGUGGUUGCCCCUAGAUGGUCAUGAUACCGCCCUGAGGCGGCGGUGGUCGCCGGUUCAAGUCCGGCCCCGCCCA